GUAGGGAAUAUUGGGCAAUGGUCGGAAGACUGACCCAGCCAUGCCGCGUGCAGGAAGACGGCCCUCUGGGUUGUAAACUGCUUUUAUCUGGGAAGAAAAAGGCCAUGCGUGGCAAAUUGCCGGUACCAGAUGAAUAAGCACCGGCUAACUCCGUGCCAGCAGCCGCGGUAAUACGGAGGGUGCGAGCGUUGUCAGGAUUUAUUGGGUUUAAAGGGUGCGUAGGCGGCUGAUUAAGUCAGCGGUGAAAGACUUCGGCUUAACCGGAGCAGUGCCGUUGAUACUGGUUGGCUUGAGUGUCGGAGGGGUACAUGGAAUUGAUGGUGUAGCGGUGAAAUGCAUAGAUACCAUCAGGAACACCGAUAGCGAAGGCAUUGUACUGGCCGACAACUGACGCUGAUGCACGAAAGUGUGGGGAUCGAACAGGAUUAGAAACCCCGGUAGUCC
rnacentral:rRNA from 1 species